GUUGUCGACCGUGUUUUUUCUCUGUUUGUUCAGUACAUCUUUUCAUCCUUGAAAGGCCAGUUUUGGACAAGUCUGAAAAAAAGGUGUUGGAGGUUUUUAUCCUAGAGAUUCAUAUCCCGUCUGGAUAGGAGCCGUAUCAUACGGUUCCAGGUCUUGACGAACUUGAGAAAGUUACAUAGGUUUGGCGGGAUGUGGGAUGACAGUCAAAAUGGGGGCGGGAUGCGGGAUGACAGAAAUUUCCAUGGCGAGAUACAGAACAAAAAUUAUUCUACAGGAGCGUGAUUUGCUCAAGUUGACAGCUGGAAUGCGGGAUAGUUUCAAAAUAGUCGUCAGGAUGCGGGAUGAAACAAAAGAAAAUCACGGAGGACUGUAAUCGGGAGAAACAUCCCGCGGGAUGGCGGGAUUAAGCCUUAAGUUGGACCCUCUUAAUUGUGCCUCAGUAUAAGAUCUGUUAAAACAAGGAUUAGACGUCAAGACGAACUAUCUUCUUUCGUGCCUCUUGAACGACGAACUAAUUACGCUCGAUUUCCGCCGCUCACUUGAGUCUGGUCUACGGGGUCCUUUCUCGAGCAGGGUCUGAUAAUCGAGCCUACGAACUAGCUGGCCGGUUCCAGAAAUCAGAAGAAUUAAACUAAAAAAAUAGCUUUCUUAAUAUAAGUGAACUAACCGCCCAAUAGAAUAAAUUCGUCUCACAAACUGAUGACAAUCCUUCCUCUCGUAUUUUUUGCGACUGCGGCGACGGUCAAUAUUCGAACGAAAGGUCUGAGGCGAAUGUAAAAACCGCGAGGGAGAAUGGGGAGAGACGCUUCACACGCGAGGAUUGCGCUUACGGCGCUUCGCGCCUUCCAAAACAUCCAAAAACGACUGUUUUGCAGUCUAUUCCUCUGGAGUUAGUCUCGACAACGAGUUGAGCUGCGAAAACCGAGCUCGGAACGAGAAAAAAUGUCAACAGCGCUCAAAACCCAAGCCAGCUUAAUACAAGCGCGGUUUAUUUCUUAUAUUCCGCGUGAAGUGAAGGAACAGUAAACAAAUAAAAACCCGGGAGUGAAAGGAUGUAGCACGCAAGCAUCAGGACUGUCUACAACCGCGAGGGACUGGAGAGGCCCUUUUGGGGGACUUCACGAUACGAGAUAUUUAGGUAAAAAAAAUAAACGGGAUACAGGAUAUUUGGGGGAAAAUUAAUGGGAUAUUUAGAUCAGAUAAAAUGGGAUAUAAGGUAUAGGAAAAUCGUCAGUUUUUGCAAUUGAAAUUAAUGGAUACGGGAUAUUUAACUCCUUUCCCCUCCCCUUUUAUCCUAUUGGGAUCUCGCUUGAGAAAGUUUUUUCAGUUGGUGUGUCUCGUUACCAUAACGGUAAAUCUUCACAGAAGGAAUGCGAUGAUUAUACAGCUACCGAGUGUGAAAAGAACACAUUAAAAUACAAGACUAAAACUCGGAUGAAAAAUAGUCUACAAGGCCGUUUCUCUAUAGUUAACCACCACUUGCGCACUUCGUGAAACGACCAUCCGAAGCCAAUUUCCUUGGAAUACUGAGGGGUGUAUGAAUUCAAAGAGUGCUGCACCUUCUUUCCAUCACGAGUCGGCUUAAAUAAAUUAAGUCUUUGGUUUGACCACUAAGAAAUUAAUUAAUAACGUUAAUAACGCUAACUAGACUGUUUUCGUGUAUAUAACUGGACGGCAAUCCGGUCGUUUAGCCCCCUAAAUUGAUCAUGCUAGCCCCAAAGUGAGUGUUAGCUCCCAACCAGAUAGCCCCAAGUAAAGCUUGUCUAUUUCUCUAUCAAUUUCAGUGAAUAAAAAUAAUAAUUUUUGUCAAUCACUCGCCCAACCAUGAUUAAAGUCUGUAAGUUGAGCGGACUAUAUAAUCUAAAAGCUGAUCAUGUGAACGGACCAAGAUUUUGGAGCUCAGCCGUAUACGGAUCCAAGACAAAACAAUUAGCGCGCUCAUCAAAGACCAUAGUUGUUUCAGAAGAUUAAGCCUUGGACUUAUUAGAGUCUUAUUAAUUAAAAGCUGCGGGGGAGAACGAUUCCUCGCGCCUUAUUGAAAUCUGGAGCUCACAAGUGAAAGCAGCUCAGCCGGAAUUCGGAUUGGGCGAAAGCCUGGUGCCAAUCUAACUGUUCCAAUCAAGUUUGUAGAUUUUGUGAGAAACCUCCAAGAGCCAAACUUGCCCAAACAUUUCAUCAAUGGAACGCAAAAAUGAUCAAAACCAGGAGCGAAUCGACCUUUUCCGCUCGAGGCUAUGUAAAUCUUAAAAAUAACUUGUCGAUGUAUUAACCGAGUUCCAUUAUAUUUGCCCGUCGACCGUUAAUCCAGUUAUAUUUUUUCUUCCUACCUAGAGUUCACGCUAAUUUCUUUUCAAAGAGUCAUGAUUUCAGAGGCUUUAAAGGGCAUUAUCAAGGCUAUUUCAAAGCCAGAGCAGUGCUAAAAUUAGGACAAAGCAUAACGUAUGAAUAGUCCUUUAAGAUGACUAGAACAGCAAGGUCGAGAAAUUAAGUGAAUAAAUGAGAGACAGAGACCAAAUUUUAAUUAGUUUGAAGCGGCUGUUCAAAAACACAAGGGCAGAACUUGAAAAUGCUUGCCAGAGUUUUUCAAUUUCAGAUGAAACCUCUGUGCUUGAGAACCUAUGCUAAUACCCUUCAAUAGCUUCAGUACACCAGAAUAUUAUUUUAAAAAAAAUGAGAACACUAUUUUUAGCUAUGUUUACGUUGGAGUAAAAAGUCUUGAGACACGCUCAUAACAGCGCCACUCUAGUUCAUACGGUUAUACCGUGACCACCAUUACGAAUGCCGUUCUCUUAUUUGGCUACGCUACUCACUAUCUAUUCUGUUGUAGAUAGUGAGCAGCCUAGCAGUGAGCUGUUGUUAGUCAAAUGGUGGCCGCUUCUUUGUGUUUUCGAAGUGUCUGUGAAGAGGAUUUGGACCAAGUUUUUAAAGGCCUAGUUGUAGAUUCACUCUGCGUCAGACCUACCCGUAUAAAUACUUGCUUAGUUCAGACCAAUGCUAAAGGCAUAUAUUUUGAAGGGCUUUUUAUCAUAAUGAUGAAAAAAGUAGCUUCUUCUAAAAAAAAAGUAAAACAUACCCAAUUUAAGAGUAGAGUGCAAAAUUGGGACUAAAAUGGCCAAAAUCGAUACCUAUUUCUGAUCAAAACGGCUAAAAAAUCAUACUCUUUGGGGCCACACAUACCAAUAUAGUCCACAUUAGGGAGCAUCCCCUCGGGCGGUUGGAAGUUUCCGAAUAAAAAUUUCUUUAGUAUAUAAUUAGCAAGCUAGACGAAUCACUAAUUAUUUAGUUGUAAGAACAAAGUCACUGUGUGAAUUUUUUAAUCUACUGAAUUAAUUAAGACGUACUGUCUCUAACUAAGAUUGUCAUCAUCUUGAGCCGGGGAAACCAAGGUCUCAGGAGGGUAGAUUUAAGCUACAAAUAGAAGAUUUGAAGACUUUGACCUGUGAGGGUUUGCAAGAAACCUAGGCCUUCUCUAGAGCUCACCGUGAGUUUCUUAAACAAUGGGAAAAAAGGAAGACAAGAAAGGCGAACAAGAGAUAGCAGACACUGGCCAAAUACCUCUUGUAUUUGUCAAUGAAGGAGCCAAAGAUGAUAGAAGAAAAAAAGACAAACCCGUUGAUCGAAAACGGUCUCGUAUCUUCAGUACCGUCUCUAUGGAUUCCAGUAAAGAUGAAGAGCAGGUUCAAGACGCUGCAAAGG